rnacentral:rRNA from 2 species
CUUGGUCAUUUAGAGGAAGUAAAAGUCGUAACAAGGUCUCCGUUGGUGAACCAGCGGAGGGAUCAUUACCGAGUUUACAACUCCCAAACCCAAUGUGAACGUUACCAAACUGUUGCCUCGGCGGGGUCACGCCCCGGGUGCGUCGCAGCCCCGGAACCAGGCGCCCGCCGGAGGAACCAACCAAACUCUUUCUGUAGUCCCCUCGCGGACGUAUUUCUUACAGCUCUGAGCAAAAAUUCAAAAUGAAUCAAAACUUUCAACAACGGAUCUCUUGGUUCUGGCAUCGAUGAAGAACGCAGCGAAAUGCGAUAAGUAAUGUGAAUUGCAGAAUUCAGUGAAUCAUCGAAUCUUUGAACGCACAUUGCGCCCGCCAGUAUUCUGGCGGGCAUGCCUGUCCGAGCGUCAUUUCAACCCUCGAACCCCUCCGGGGGAUCGGCGUUGGGGAUCGGGACCCCUCACACGGGUGCCGGCCCCGAAAUACAGUGGCGGUCUCGCCGCAGCCUCUCCUGCGCAGUAGUUUGCACAACUCGCACCGGGAGCGCGGCGCGUCCACGUCCGUAAAACACCCAACUUUCUGAAAUGUUGACCUCGGAUCAGGUAGGAAUACCCGCUGAACUUAAGCAUAUCAAUAAGCGGAGGA